GUGAAUCAUCAAAUUUUUGAACGCAUAUUGCACUCCCUGGUAUUCCGGAGAGUAUGCCUAUUUGAGGGUCAUUUGAAAUAAUAUUCAUUCCAAGAUUUCUUGGAUUUUAAAUUGGGUCGUCGAUUUUUUGUGGUCUCUUAAAAUCUAAUACAUGCCCAUUUUCUUGGGCUGUGUGCUAUUCUCAGUUACUACGCGU
rnacentral:misc_RNA from 1 species